rnacentral:rRNA from 2 species
UGAGGAAUAUUGGUCAAUGGACGGAAGUCUGAACCAGCCAUGCCGCGUGAAGGUCACGGCCCUAUGGGUCUUAAACUUCUUUUGUAAGGGAGCAAUAAGGUGCACGUGUGCAUUGAUGAGAGUACCUUACGAAUAAGCAUCGGCUAACUCCGUGCCAGCAGCCGCGGUAAUACGGAGGAUGCAAGCGUUAUCCGGAUUUAUUGGGUUUAAAGGGUGCGUAGGCGGUCUAUUAAGUCAGCGGUGAAAGCGUUCCGCUCAACGGGAUCAUUGCCGUUGAUACUGGUAGACUUGAAUUCGGAUGCCGUGGGAGGAAUGAGUAGUGUAGCGGUGAAAUGCAUAGAUAUUACUCAGAACACCGAUUGCGAAGGCAUCUCACGAAUCCGACAUUGACGCUGAGGCACGAAAGUGUGGGGAUCAAACAGG